rnacentral:rRNA from 1 species
CGCCGCAGGAUGGGUCUGCGGCCGAUUAGGUAGUUGUUGGGGUAACGGCCCAACAAGCCUGUAAUCGGUACGGGUUGUGGGAGCAAGAGCCCGGAGAUGGAUUCUGAGACAUGAAUCCAGGCCCUACGGGGCGCAGCAGGCGCGAAAACUUUACAAUGCGGGAAACCGUGAUAAGGGAACCCCGAGUGCCCGUAGAAUCGGGCUGUUGAUCUGUGUAAAAAGCAGGUAAAGAAAGGGCCGGGCAAGACCGGUGCCAGCCGCCGCGGUAAUACCGGCGGCUCGAGUGGUGGCCACUAUUACUGGGCUUAAAGCGUUCGUAGCUGGGUUGUUAAGUCUCUUGGGAAAUCCACCGGCUCAACCGAUGGGCGACCAGGGGAAACUGGCAUUCUAGGGACCGGGAGAGGUGAGAGGUACUCCAGGGGUAGGAGUGAAAUCCUGUAAUCCUUGGGGGACCACCGAUGGCGAAGGCAUCUCACCAGAACGGCUCCGACAGUGAGGAACGAAAGCUGGGGGAGCAAACCGGAUUAGAUACCCGGGUAGUCCCAGCUGUAAACGAUGCGCGUUAGGUGUAUCGGUGACCACGAGUUACCGAGGUGCCGAAGGGAAACCGGAAACGCG